ACUGAAGACUGGGUUCCCGAGUGCCGAGCGGCGCCCCCUAGGCUGCUCCCGGGCCCCGCCGGCUGCUUGUUGCAAGCCGGUCCGCCAGUGUGCGCAGCAGGCUAGGGAUCCUGGCCAACCUAAGACCCUCUCCUGAGCCAGCCCUCCAGAGCCAGGAGAUCCGCAUGCGCCCGAGAGUGGACCAAGGGGAAUGGGAACCGAGGAGGGGCGAGGCGUGUCUUUGCUACAGCGGUGGAGUGAGUCUCUGAAACCAUGCACAAAGGAAAUCUCCCCUCAGUUGUUCCUGCCCAUUACCUUACCACAAUGAUGAGAGGGAGUAGCCCCAGGGGUCACUCACGUCCCGUCGGAACCACAGCAGGACAUGUACUGGGUUGCUCUUGCUCUGUGCACUGUGGUGAAAGCCAGGAUGGAGCCUGCCUCCGCAGCCAUCUGCUCAGGAGCCAGGGAUGAAGAAGCCAGGGGUCCUCAUCGCAUCCUGCUUCUCCCUGGACCUGAAGAGGAUGCAUUGCUUGACUGAACUUAACAUCUAAUGAAGAGACCCAAGGGAUCACACUGCAGCAUUUGAGGACACCAGAAGCAAAAAGAACAAGCAGCAAAAGGCCACCGACAAAGACGUAUCAGCGUGAUUUGAACUCAAUAACAAUACAAAGAACAUGAGAAUGGAAGAUUCUAAGAAUCGUUAUUUCCUGACUUCAAAGUCUAUAUCAGACAAAUCUUCACUGAAGUGUGAAUAAUACUUUCCUCAUCUAUUAAGUUCUCAAAAAUUUACCUCUUUCCAUGGUCUAUUGGAUUUGCAUCUCUCCCCCAAACCAAUGUUUAUAGCCUUAACCCCCAUGUGCUGGUAAUGAAGGAGGAGUCUGGGUGUGGAGGUGGCUCAGUGGAUUCAGCACUUGCUGAGCAAGCAUGAUGAGCCAACGUUUAGAUUCCCAGCACCCACAUAAAAGCCAGAAUGGUGUGGUGGCCUGCUUGCAACCCCAGCACUUAGGAAGUAGAGAUAGCUAGACUAGCUAAACCAGCAAACUCUGGGCUCAGAAAGAGAUCCUGCCUCAGCAAAGAAAGUAGAUAGCAACCCAGAAAGAUACCCAGUGUCAAUCUCUGCACACACAUAUGCACAUGCUCCCACACAUUUAUGAACAUGCAUAGACAGCUGCACACACACAUACAUGUGCUCCCACACACUUAUGAACAUGCAUAUACAAGCAUGCACACAUAAACGAAGUCAGGCCUCUAUAGGGUGAUUGGAUCACGAAGGUGAAGCUUUUAUGGAUGGAAUCAGUGCUCUUUAAAAGAAGCCCUGGGAAGCUCACGAGCCUCUUCCACAGUGAGAAGAUACAGAGAGAUG